GAUAUAAAAAUCACAUAUAUGUCACAUCAUCUUGUUGAUACCGGCAAGAAAAGAUGGUCAACCAGUUUUAAAAGCUGCGUCUCUGUUCAGCACCUGAUGUCAUCGUAUCAACCUUGUGCAGGUAUAAAAGCUGCAGACUGUCAGAGAUUAAACAACAAACAGCUGGAGUCGGUGAGCAUCGGCACGACUGAAGACAACUCAGGACGAUUAAACUGUUGAACGACUUUUCCACAAUGAUUCUCAAGAUCUGUUUCAUUCUGCUUCUGCUUCUCGCCAUUUCACAGAUACCAGAAGCGAAUGCAGGACAGCAAUCUUCAAACAGCACAGCAAACAGCACAGCAAACAGCACAGCAAACAGCAGAGCAGUCAUUAACAAAAUCAGCCUGACUUCUGUCACAAUGGCCGUCGUAGCUGCUGUGCUUCCAUAACAUAGUUACAGUUGUAACUAUGUUGUUACAACUUUCUUUUUCCUAUUUUACCAUGUAUUUGUCUGUGUAUUUUUCAUAUCCUAUCAAAGUAGGGAAGUUUCAAAAAGGGGAGGGAUGAUAAAUAAAAGGGGAUCUAAACUGUCUUUUGAACACAUGUAAAUGAUCCAUUUUACUGUAUGCUUUCACAAGAUUGUGACUUUCUUUGUGGCAAAGGUCAACAAAUAAAAUGUUUACUAAUCAGAGGAAACCGAUUCAGUCACACAUGUUAAGAUUUAUUGUGAUGACCAUCUAUCAGCAUUGUGAAAAUAGCUGUAUCUAACCUGAUUUAUGGGAGAAUAUGUUAACUUACUAGCCAAUAAAUGACAAUGAUCACUUCAGUUUUGCUUUAUUCUGUCCGUUAACCAGUCUUUUUACUUAUUCAGCAUCUUUGCACUCUGCACCACAGAUAUGCUAUACGUGUGGUUGUUGUCUCCGUCAUGUUGUCAACUUUAUUAUGGACACUGAGAGCAAAGAAAAAAGCCGAGGUCACUUCCUUGUACUUGGUCAAUAAAGCUGAACCUGAUUCUAUCAAA